rnacentral:lncRNA from 1 species
CACGUUGGUGCAAACGCAUACAGACACACACACGCGCGUGCGCAUGCGAUGCAGUGAAACUCUUGUCAGAGUAGCCUAUAAUCUCUGUUAACCCAGAACCUCACUAUCCUAUUACAGUAGUGUAGUAUUAGUGUAGUGUUAGUGUAGUAUUAGUGUAGUGUUAGUGUAGCGUUAGUGUAGUCUUAGUGUAGUCUUAGUGUAGUGUUAGUGUAGUGUUUGUGUAGUAUUAGUGUAGUGUUAGUGUAGUCUUAGUGUAGUGUUAGUGUAGUGUUCGUGUAGUAUUAGUGUAGUGUUAGUGUAGUAUUAGUGUAGUGUUUGUGUAGUGUUAGUGUAGUGUUAGUGUAGUCUUAGUGUAGUGUUCGUGUAGUAUUCGUGUAGUAUUAGUGUAGUGUUAGUGUAGUAUUAGUGUAGUAUUAGUGUAGUGUUAGUGUAGUAUCAGUGUAGUGUUGGUGUAGUGUUAGUGUAGUAUUAGUAUAAUGUUAGUGUGGUGUUAGUGUAGUAUUAGUGUAGUAUCAGUGUAGUGUUAGUGUAGUGUUAGUGUUAGUGUAGUGUUAGCGUAGUAUUAGUGUAGUGUUAGUGUAGUAUUAGUGUAGUGUUAGUGUAGUAUUGGUGUAGUGUUAGUGUAGUAUUAGUGUAAUGUUAGUGUGGUGUUAGUGUAGUAUUAGUGUGGUGUUAGUGUAGUAUUAGUGUAGUGUUAGUGUAGUAUUAGUGUAGUGUUAGUGUAGUAUUUGUGUAGUGUUAGUGUAGUAUUAGUGUAAUGUUAGUGUGGUGUUAGUGUAGUAUUAGUGUAGUGUUAGUGUAGUAUUAGUGUAGUAUCAGUGUAGUGUUGGUGUAGUAUUAGUGUAGUAUUAGUGUAGUGUUAGUGUAGUGUUGUGUUAGUGUAGUAUUAGUGUAGUAUUAGUGCAGUGUUAGUGUGGUGUUAGUGUAGUGUUAGUGUAGUGUUAGUGUAGUGUUAUUGUAGUAUUAGUGUAGUAUUCGUGUAGGAUUAGUGUAGUGUAGUUGUAGUGUAGUGUUAGUGUAGUGUUAGUGUAGUGUUAGUGUAGUAUUAGUGUAGUAUUAUUGUAGUAUUAGUGUAGUGUUAGUGUUGUAUUAGUGUAGUGUUAGUGUAGUAUUGGUGUAGUGUUAGUGUAGUAUUAGUGUAGUGUUAGUGUUAGUGUAGUAUUAGUGUAGUGUUAGUGUAGUAUUAGUGUAGUGUUAGUGUAGUGUUCGUGUAGUAUUAGUGUAGUGUUAGUGUAGUGUUAGUGUAGUAUUAGUGUAGUAUUAGUGUAGUGUUAGUGUAGUGUUAGUUUAGUGUUAGUGUAGUAUUAGUGUAGUGUUAGUGUAGUAUUAGUGUAGUAUUAGUGUAGUGUUAGUGUAGUGUUCGUGUAGUAUUAGUGUAGUGUUAGUGUAGUAUUAGUGUAGUAUUAGUGCAGUGUUAGUGUAGUAUUGGUGUAGUAUUAGUGUAGUGUUAGUGUAGUGUUAGUGUAGUAUUAGUGUAGUAUUAGUGUGGUGUUAGUGUAGUGUUAGUGUAGUGUUAGUGUAGUAUUGGUGUAGUGUUAGUGUAGUAUUAGUGUAGUGUUAGUGUAGUGUUAGUUUAGUGUUAGUGUAGUAUUAGUGUAGUGUUAGUGUAGUAUUAGUGUAGUAUUAGUGUAGUGUUAGUGUAGUGUUCGUUUAGUAUUAGUGUAGUGUUAGUGUAGUAUUAGUGUAGUAUUACAUAAUUAACCAGAGUGCAGGGGUGAGAUAAGGACCACCAUGCAGUCAAGGUUUAUACUACAGGGGUGCCUGGCAGUCCCAUAACAAAUCAGGGCACGUUCAUAAACAUGAAAUAUUAACGCAACACCCCCAGAAGUGUUAAAGGUACAACCUGUAAUUUGACCAGCCUGACCCUGCCACUUGGUUUGGUAAACAGGGAUGAGGCUGGGAGAAAUGGAACCACUCUCAUAUUCAGAUGGACUAUGAAUUCCAAGACUAAGAGUCCAUAAGAAUGACUUAUAGUGUUAACCAUAUGUUCAAGAUAUACAUGGUUUGUUUACAAUGGUUUAUUGUAAAGACCAAGGGCCAGUUUAAUGGAAACUGACCUGUUAGUCCUGGACUAGGCCUGGAAACUAGCCCCGAGAGGCAAUCAAGUCAGCUAUCACAAUGUUUUCACAUUAGUAUAACUAUAUGAACAGCUGGACUAACCACACUGAAUUCCCUAUAUGUAGCUAUACUAAUGUGAUCUUAAUUGGUAAAUGAAAGACCCUAUUAGGUAGGACUGGCGGAAAGGGUUCAGCUGUGUGUCUGUGCAGUCUCUCUUGGUAGACGUUUCCUAUAGCAGAUCUAGGAUCAGCUUACCCUACCAACACAUUUCACCUUAAUCAUUAGGGUUAAAAACUCAACACUGUCCUCAGAUCAGUGUUUAUGGGCAACUUCAUUCAAGUCCUCUGAGUCACAGUGAGUGUGAGCAAUAGGUUGACAGGCCAUACCUCGUGGGCCGGGUUUAUAUACACCGGUGUGACUGGACAGUGUCUGG